rnacentral:rRNA from 1 species
GUCCACCCCGUAAACGUUGGGAACUAGUUGUGGGGUCCAUUCCACGGAUUCCGUGACGCAGCUAACGCAUUAAGUUCCCCGCCUGGGGAGUACGGCCGCAAGGCUAAAACUCAAAGGAAUUGACGGGGACCCGCACAAGCGGCGGAGCAUGCGGAUUAAUUCGAUGCAACGCGAAGAACCUUACCAAGGCUUGACAUACACGAGAACACCGUAGAAAUACGGGACUCUUUGGACACUCGUGAACAGGUGGUGCAUGGUUGUCGU